GGAAGGAGAGAGAGGCGGCUGGAGGUAUGGGUGAGGGAGGACAAAAAAGGAGAAGAAGAGGGAGGAGAGGAGAGGGAAGAAGGGAGAAAAGUGAUUGUCGACGAUUGGGGGCGACCAAUGGAUCGCUGCUUCGCCAGAGAAGAGAAAAAGGUGGGGAAGGGGAAGAGAGAAGGGAGGUGGAAAGAGGCAGAAGGGGAAGAGGGGAGAAAGACGAGAGAGGGGAAAAGAGAAAGACGAAGGAGGAGCGAGAGGGAGAUCUCACCGGCGAUAAUGGCUUUCGCCGGAAAAAAUGGAGGAGAGGAAGAGAG
rnacentral:misc_RNA from 1 species